UUUUUUUUUUUUUUUGGGUUUUCGUUUACAUGUAAUGAAGUUUCUCUCAACAUUUCACUAAUUUUAUUGUUGUGCCAUAUACGAAUUAAUUUCUUCUUUACGAAGUGAUGUUAAAUCCUCUAACGUUACCAUUUUAAAUCUAUGAUGAGUUAUACAAUCAUGGAAAACACCAUUUUGCUUGCCCUUUCUUGCAAUAAGAAUUUUUUGAGUCAUCUUUUCUCAUUAUGGAAAGAAACUAUAUCCCACUAUCCUUGUAAGGGCACAAACAAAUAUGCCCUUCACUAUGAAGGAAGCGUAAAUGAAGAACAAACUGCUCUUUUCCUCUUAAAUCUCAAGUUGAAAUGAAGCAACCUUCAAGCAUGGAGUCGGGAUUAUAGUGGAGCUCAAUUACGAAGGAUAUUGCAUGAUUGUAUCACAACAAAGGAAAAAAAAAAGUAUAUUGCUCAAUAACCAUGAAAAUAAUUUCAUAACCAUAAAAGCAAAUGGACACAUUUUCUCUUAACAUCAAGAACAUAAGUACCCCAAUACAAAUAGUAAUAGAGAGUACAUGAUACGUGUAAGUGAUGCAUGCCCGGCUGCAUAACCAAAUCUCCAUAGCCCACAAGUCCAUAACCCCAAAUCUUAGAACCUCUACACAAAAACUACCAACCUUUACUAAUCAAAGCCAAAAUAAGCUGCCUUGUAUGCAUCUCUUACAUCCCAUGUUUUAUAUGUCACUAACCAUACCCAAAAGAAGGAAAAAAAGGAACCCAAAGAAAAAAAAAAAAAGAGCCAGAGAAGGACUAAAAACUAAUAAAGGAUUAGUAAACAAGAAGGUUCAAACAUCAUAUUGGAAAUAUAUAAGACCUAAAUUAAGGUAAACUCGGACCGCUACCCUCAAUUCCCCGCAAUGCAAUAUAUCGGUCUCCCAAUUCUGCCCUUUCUACCAAAAAGCUAGAAACUCGGGAGAGCGAAAUUGCAAAGCCUUUGUUGUUUAGGAGAUCACCAGCUUGCCAUAGCUAAACAAGGGUUCUCCUCUUCCUCCGGCGCGGCCGCCAUCUUGCACUUCCUCCAUAGAAGUCACAGGACCUCCACAAGUGGCCACCAAUCAUUGUGUAAUACUAAGAAAAGAUGAACGGCCAAAGUCCUAAAGCAAAAUGGGGUGCUAGAGGAAAAUGGCCAAAGUUGGCUAAGCUAGCAAAAGAAAGUGAAACUACUGGAGAAUAAAAAUAAAGUUCACGUAGGUAUGAAAGAAGGGGACAUGAUGGGUCGUAUAUAAAGGCGAGAUUGUAGUAGUAGUAGCUUUGCCUUUUAGUUGGAUGUGAU
rnacentral:lncRNA from 1 species